ensembl:miRNA
CGUCCACUCAGAUGUUUCUUGACAAGAGGAACGGUGGUGUACAAGCUCAGCACUCUGGGAGGCUGAGGCAGGAGGAU